AGGGUUGCAUUUUGGUAUUUUGAAGCAUUAAAUCUUCUAACAUUUCAAUUUAUUAUCUGUUUUCCUUUGCUAUAUCAUUGUAUUCGAAAAAAUCUUUGAAAAAAUUAGAAAUUAUGGCUAGCUUAAAAGAGGACGCUGAAAGAUCUAGAGAAGAUAUUGUGGUAGCUAAAGUCUUAGAGAUGUUAUGAACGAAAUGUCGUAAAAGGGAGAUAGUCAUUCCUCUAAUUUGUAUGCUCCGAAGAAACUCUGAAAUUUUCAAUUAGGUUUUUUUUGGUUCAUUGCUUUCGAAGCCAUUAAUCAUUGCUACGAUAGACCAAUCAUUUAGACAUGGGUGAAAAAGACCUCUUGAAACAGACCUUCUUGCACUGAUUGAACCAUGGAGCUGAGAUUGUGACAUUGGGACUUACUUUCCUUUCUAAUCAAGAAGUCUUGGUAAAAGAUACUAUGAAAUGAUAUAUGUCUGCUUUAGUGAAUUAUUGUUUUUAGCUUAUUUUGUGCAUUCUUAGAGUAGUUCACCAUUUCCAUUAUCAAGUGAUGCAACCUAAUAAAAAUUCCAAAAAUUAACUCUUGGAUGCAUCGGACGUUAUUAAUUACUUUAAAAUUGUGUCGUACCACCAGCCGUUUGGAUAGUAUUUUUUUCUGUAUCUGAAUAUGAAUCAAUCUCCUUCAAUAAAAUAACACGAAUCCAGCAACGAAUCAAAUAAUUUUUUACCUUAGCUAUCCGCAUUCCGACUACAGAAUUGCUUUUACAGUUGAUUCAAAUGCACGUACACGUUGUUUCUGGUGUCAUUAUUAACGAUUCCGUUUGCCUCCAGAUUUUGCUCAACUUGUAAUUGAUUCACCUCUGCUUCAUGCUCUGCAACGCAUUUAUUGCAUUCGGUGUUGGGACAACAGCAAUUUAUUCAACAUUGAG